rnacentral:rRNA from 1 species
CAGUAGCCACGGGAAUACGUAGGGUGCAAGCGUUAAUCGGAAUUACUGGGCGUAAAGCGUGCGCAGGCGGUUAUAUAAGUCAGAUGUGAAAUCCCCGGGCUCAACCUGGGAACUGCAUUUGAGACUGUAUGGCUAGAGUGUGUCAGAGGGGGGUAGAACUCCACGUGUAGCAGUGAAAUGCGUAGAUAUGUGGGGGAAUACCGAUGGCGAAGGCAGCCCCCUGGGAUAACACUGACGCUCAUGCACGAAAGCGUGGGGAGCAAACAGGAUUAGAUACCCCAGUAGUCCCUGUCUCUUAUAC